AUUGAACGCUGGCGGCAGGCCUAACACAUGCAAGUCGAACGAGUGGCGGACGGGUGAGUAAUGUCUGGGAAACUGCCUGAUGGAGGGGGAUAACUACUUGAAACGGUAGCUAAUACCGCCUACUAUCGGAUGAGCCCAGAUGGGAUUAGAUUGUUGGUGGGGUAACGGCUCACCAAGGCGACGAUCCCUAGCUGGUCUGAGAGGAUGACCAGCCACACUGGCACUGAGACACGGUCCAGACUCCUACGGGAGGCAGCAGUGGGGAAUAUUGCACAAUGGGCGCAAGCCUGAUGCAGCCAGGCCGCGUGUAUGAAGAAGGCCUUCGGGUUGUAAAGUACUUUCAGCGGGGAGGCGUUACCCGCAGAAGAAGCACCGGCUAACUCCGUGCCAGCCGCCGCGGUAAUAC
rnacentral:rRNA from 1 species